UACAGAGGGUGCAAGCGUUGUUCGGAAUUAUUGGGCGUAAAGGGCGCGUAGGCGGCCUGAUAAGUAGGGGGUGAAAUCCUGCGGCUUAACCGCAGGGCUGCCUUCUAAACUGUCAGGCUUGAGCACAGUAGAGGCAGGUGGAAUUCCCGGUGUAGCGGUGGAAUGCGUAGAGAUCGGGAAGAACAUCGGUGGCGAAGGCGGCCUGCUGGGCAGUUGCUGACACUGAGGCGCGACAGCGUGGGGAGCAAACAGG
rnacentral:rRNA from 1 species